rnacentral:rRNA from 1 species
UACGAAGGGGGCGAGCGUUGUUCGGAAUUACUGGGCGUAAAGGGCGCGUAGGCGGCGACCCAAGUCAGCUGUGAAAGUCCUGGGCUUAACCUGGGGACUGCAUUUGAUACUGGGUUGCUUGAAUUCGGGAGAGGAUAGCGGAAUUCCCAGUGUAGAGGUGAAAUUCGUAGAUAUUGGGAAGAACACCGGUGGCGAAGGCGGCUAUCUGGACCGACAUUGACGCUGAGGCGCGAAAGCGUGGGGAGCAAACAGG